GAUGAACGCUGGCGGCGUGCCUAAUACAUGCAAGUCGAGCGAACUGAUUAGAAGCUUGCUUCUAUGACGUUAGCGGCGGACGGGUGAGUAACACGUGGGCAACCUGCCUGUAAGACUGGGAUAACUCCGGGAAACCGGAGCUAAUACCGGAUAACAUUUUCUCUUGCAUCAGAGAAAAUUGAAAGAUGGUUUCGGCUAUCACUUACAGAUGGGCCCGCGGAGCAUUAGCUAGUUGGUGAGGUAACGGCUCACCAAGGCAACGAGGCAUAGCCGACCUGAGAGGGUGAUCGGCCACACUGGGACUGAGACACGGCCCAGACCCCUACGGGAGGCAGCAGUAGGGAAUCUUCCGCAAUGGACGAAAGUCUGACGGAGCAACGCCGCGUGAGUGAUGAAGGCUUUCGGGUCGUAAAACUCUGUUGUUAGGGAAGAACAAGUACAAGAGUAACUGCUUGUACCUUGACGGUACCUAACCAGAAAGCCACGGCUAACUACGUGCCAGCAGCCGCCGUAA
rnacentral:rRNA from 1 species